rnacentral:lncRNA from 1 species
UUUCAUCAUGACAAAAAUAUAAUCGUAAACAAUGCUCUUCUUCCCCUCUCCUCUCCAGCUCCCUGCGACCCCACAAAUGUAACCGCUGCCCUGCGCUGCCCCUCCGGUGUUGCGACUGUGACGUGGGAGCCCAGUGCUGGAGCAAAUCAUUACACAGUCGUCGCCGAGGCCAGCGGGCACAUGGACUCCUGCAGCUCCUCCGGCAUGUCCUGUGAGCUGACCCAGCUGCAGUGCGGAGAGGACUACACUGUGACUGUGUUGGCAGGGGACGGGCACUGCAACAGCUCAGUACUCGCCACAACCAAUGUAAUGACAGCUCCCUGUGCUCCAAUGAUCCAGAACCACUCCCUGGACUGUGUCUCCAACCACGCCAUGGUCACCUGGGCUGAGGACGAGGAUGCUAUGAGCGUCAUGGUCAACGCAACCUCCAACCUUGGACACUCGACGUCCUGCAGCUCCUCCACCAACAACAGCUGUGUCCUUGAUGACCUGGAGUGUGGAAACACCUACACCGCCCAGGUUGUUGCACGAGGGGUCCAGUGUUUGAGCAAACCAAGCUCUACCUUUCAGAUUGUCACAGCGCCCUGUACCCCUGAAAACCUUGAUCACACAUACUCCUGUGAGACCGGCAUCGCCUUCCUGAGCUGGGAUGAGACUUUGGGGAGAAAAAGUUUCUACGCUCAGGCCACUUCUGGAGACCACAUGGUGCCCUGCAGCACCAGCCAGAACGACUGCUCCAUGCCAUCACUGCUCUGUGGCCGCACUUACGAUGUGAAAGUGAUAGCUGUGGCGGACCACUGCAACAGUAGCGUCCCUGGUGUAACACAAAUACAGACAGGUGAGAGAGUUUUUCAAAUGCCACAAAUGCCUUUAGGAUUUUUUGAUGCGUUUCAGGCAUCAUUUGCUUUCCAUUUA